rnacentral:rRNA from 1 species
UUGCCUGGCUUGCAGCUGGUUGACUUAGGUUGGCCUGAGUCUUGGAGUAUUUUUAUACACUCUGAAUGUAAUGGAAUGUCUAUGUGCAUAACGCGCAAAAAUACAACUUUCAACAACGGAUCUCUUGGCUCUCGCACCGAUGAAGAACGCAGCGAAAUGCGAUAAGUAAUGUGAAUUGCAGAAUUCAGUGAAUCAUCGAAUCUUUGAACGCACCUUGCACCCUUUGGUAUUCCGAAGGGUACACCCGUUUGAGUGUCAUUGUAAUCUCACUCCUUCAACUUUGUUGUUGUUGGAUGUGGACUUGGACUCUGUUGUGUUACAACAACUGGUCUUAAAUGAAUGAGUGCACCCUGCUGUUGCAGCGUCUUCAGUGUGAUAAGCAUCUUCACUGGAACAAAGUCCCUUGGGACACGCAGGCAUUGUAGGCUCUGUGCUGGCAAACAGUCUUUGGACAAUCUUUGACAAUUUGACCUCAAAUCGGGUGGGACUACCCGCUGAACUUAAGCAUAUCAAUAAGCGGAGGA